UGGAUCACAAGGAGAGAACCGGCUUGUGCUGUGGCAGUCACAGCCGAGUGCUGGGACAGUUGGCAGUUGAGUGGCGGCCAUCUUAGAGAGUUGUACUGACAGGAGGAGCUGAGAGACAAGACCGGUACUGCUGCUGCUGUGAUUCCAAGCCAGGGUGGCAGGACAGGUUCCUUGAGCAGAUGUUCAAUGUAGGAUCAGUUUCUGAAAGACUUUUGACCUGGAAAGCAACCUGUGACUCUCCAGCUGAACUACAACAAUGGGUGGAACUACAGGAUUCAUGCUGCUUGCCAGGCCUUCUGGGAGUUGUUUGUCAACAAUGGGUGGAGUGCCUCAGGUUGCCUCAGCCAGCUUUAUGAAAGGAAGUGAAAUUAUGCUCCCUGUGACUCCCUGACAUGGAAUACAAAACCUGCAAGAUCUGAUGCUUGGAUGAUGAUUGCCUUUGCUCGAUUUGGAAUCUGAGUCUGGUAGGAAAACCCAAGCCGAGAUGCACAUGUUUAGCUCUUCCUCCCUCAUACAUUUG